rnacentral:rRNA from 1 species
GUGGGGAAUCUUGCGCAAUGGGCGAAAGCCUGACGCAGCCAUGCCGCGUGAAUGAUGAAGGUCUUAGGAUUGUAAAAUUCUUUCACCGGGGACGAUAAUGACGGUACCCGGAGAAGAAGCCCCGGCUAACUUCGUGCCAGCAGCCGCGGUAAUACGAAGGGGGCUAGCGUUGCUCGGAAUUACUGGGCGUAAAGGGCGCGUAGGCGGACAGUUUAGUCAGAGGUGAAAGCCCAGGGCUCAACCUUGGAAUUGCCUUUGAAACUGGAAAACUUGAAUCUUGGAGAGGUCAGUGGAAUUCCGAGUGUAGAGGUGAAAUUAGUAGAUAUUCGGAGGAACACCAGUGGCGAAGGCGGCUUACUGGUCCAUUACUGACGCUGAGGUGCGAAAGCGUGGGGAGCAAACAGGAUUAGAUACCCCAGUAGUCC